GUGCCAGCAGCCGCGGUAAGACGUAGGGGGCAAGCGUUGCUCGGAAUCACUGGGCUUAAAGGGCGCGUAGGCGGUUGUGUAAGUCCAGGGUUGAAGGCCCCGGCUCAACCGGGGAAAGGCCUUGGAGACUGCAUGACUUGAGUGAGCGAGGGGAGGGCGGAAUUCCUGUGUAGCGGUGAAAUGCGUAGAUAUCAGGAGGAAGGCCUGUGGCGAAGGCGGCCCUCUGGCGCUCAACUGACUCUGAGGCGCGAAAGCGUGGGUAGCAAACAGGAUUAGAUACCCUGGUAGUCCACGCCCUAAACGGUGGGCACUAGGUGUGGGGCUCGAGAGGGUUCCGUGCCGAAGGGAAACCAAUAAGUGCCCCGCCUGGGGAGUACGGCCGCAAGGUUGAAACUUAAAUGAAUUGACGGGG
rnacentral:rRNA from 1 species